rnacentral:rRNA from 1 species
AGAGUUUGAUCAUGGCUCAGAACGAACGCUGGCGGCAUGCCUAACACAUGCAAGUCGAACGAUGCCUUCGGGCAUAGUGGCGCACGGGUGCGUAACGCGUGGGAAUCCGCCCCUGGGUUCGGAAUAACAGCGAGAAAUUGCUGCUAAUACCGGAUGAUGACGAAAGUCCAAAGAUUUAUCGCCCAGGGAUGAGCCCGCGUAGGAUUAGCUAGUUGGUGAGGUAAGAGCUCACCAAGGCGACGAUCCUUAGCUGGUCUGAGAGGAUGAUCAGCCACACUGGGACUGAGACACGGCCCAGACUCCUACGGGAGGCAGCAGUGGGGAAUAUUGGACAAUGGGCGAAAGCCUGAUCCAGCAAUGCCGCGUGAGUGAUGAAGGCCUUAGGGUUGUAAAGCUCUUUUACCCGGGAUGAUAAUGACAGUACCGGGAGA